rnacentral:rRNA from 1 species
AAUAUGACGCAGCCAUCACAGGUCACAUUGAUAUGAUAUAGCCCGCCCGCAGAUCAUCUAAUGAUCUUUCCGUAGGUGAACCUGCGGAAGGAUCAUUA